AAAUUGAAGAGUUUGAUCAUGGCUCAGAUUGAACGCUGGCGGCAGGCCUAACACAUGCAAGUCGAACGGUAACAGGAAGCAGCUUGCUGCUUCGCUGACGAGUGGCGGACGGGUGAGUAAUGUCUGGGAAACUGCCUGAUGGAGGGGGAUAACUACUGGAAACGGUGGCUAAUACCGCAUAACGUCGCAAGACCAAAGAGGGGGACCUUCGGGCCUCUUGCCAUCAGAUGUGCCCAGAUGGGAUUAGCUGGUUGGUGAGGUAACGGCUCACCAAGGCGACGAUCCCUAGCUGGUCUGAGAGGAUGACCAGCCACACUGGAACUGAGACACGGUCCAGACUCCUACGGGAGGCAGCAGUGGGGAAUAUUGCACAAUGGGCGCAAGCCUGAUGCAGCCAUGCCGCGUGUAUGAAGAAGGCCUUCGGGUUGUAAAGUACUUUCAGCGGGGAGGAAGGUGUUGUG
rnacentral:rRNA from 2 species